GAUGAACGCUGGCGGCGUGCCUAAUACAUGCAAGUCGAGCGAACGGACGAGAAGCUUGCUUCUCUGAUGUUAGCGGCGGACGGGUGAGUAACACGUGGAUAACCUACCUAUAAGACUGGGAUAACUUCGGGAAACCGGAGCUAAUACCGGAUGAUAUUUUGAACCGCAUGGUUCAACAGUGAAAGACGGUCUUGCUGUCACUUAUAGAUGGAUCCGCGCUGCAUUAGCUAGUUGGUAAGGUAACGGCUUACCAAGGCGACGAUGCAUAGCUGACCUGAGAGGAUGAUCAGCCACACUGGAACUGAGACACGGUCCAGACUCCUACGGGAGGCAGCAGUGGGGAAUCUUCCGCAAUGGGCGAAAGCCUGACGGAGCCACGCCGCGUGAGUGAUGAAGGUCUUCGGAUCGUAAAACUCUGUUAUUAGGGAAGAACAGAUGUGUGAGUAACUGUGCACAUCUUGACGGUACCUAAUCAGAAAGCCACGGCUAACUACGUG
rnacentral:rRNA from 1 species